rnacentral:rRNA from 1 species
GCGACUCCGCGUGAGGGAUGGAGGCCUUCGGGUUGUAAACCUCUUUCGCCAGUGAAGCAGGCCUGUCCCUUUUGUGGGUGGGUUGACGGUAGCUGGAUAAGAAGCGCCGGCUAACUACGUGCCAGCAGCCGCGGUAAUACGUAGGGCGCGAGCGUUGUCCGGAAUUAUUGGGCGUAAAGAGCUCGUAGGCGGCUGGUCGCGUCUGUCGUGAAAUCCUCUGGCUUAACUGGGGGCUUGCGGUGGGUACGGGCCGGCUUGAGUGCGGUAGGGGAGACUGGAACUCCUGGUGUAGCGGUGGAAUGCGCAGAUAUCAGGAAGAACACCGGUGGCGAAGGCGGGUCUCUGGGCCGUUACUGACGCUGAGGAGCGAAAGCGUGGGGAGCGAACAGGAUUAGAUACCCUGGUAGUCCACGCCGUAAACGUUGGGCACUAGGUGUGGGGGGCCUUUUCCGGGUCUUCCGCGCCGUAGCUAACGCAUUAAGUGCCCCGCCUGGGGAGUACGGCCGCAAGGCUAAAACUCAAAGGAAUUGACGGGGGCCCGCACAAGCGGCGGAGCAUGCGGAU